rnacentral:rRNA from 1 species
UUCCGGUUGAUCCCGCCGGACCUGACUGCUAUCGGAUUGAUACUAAGCCAUGCGAGUCAUUGUAGUAAUACAAGGCAGACGGCUCAGUAACGCGUAGUCAACCUAACCUAUGGACGGGAAUAACCUCGGGAAACUGAGUAUAAUGCCCGAUAGAACAUUAUGCCUGGAAUGGUUUAUGUUCCAAAUGAUUUAUCGCCGUAGGAUGGGACUGCGGCCUAUCAGUUUGUUGGUGAGGUAGUGGCCCACCAAGACUAUUACAGGUACGGGCUCUGAGAGGAGUAGCCCGGAGAUGGGUACUGAGACACGGACCCAGGCCCUAUGGGGCGCAGCAGGCGAGAAAACUUUGCAAUGUGCGAAAGCACGACAAGGUUAAUCCGAGUGGUUUCUGCUAAAGGAACCUUUUGUCGGUCCUAGAAACACCGAUGGAUAAGGGGUGGGCAAGUUCUGGUGUCAGCCGCCGCGGUAAAACCAGCACCUCAAGUGGUCAGGAUGAUUAUUGGGCCUAAAGCAUCCGUAGCCGGCUCUAUAAGUUUUCGGUUAAAUCUGUACGCUCAACGUACAGGUUGCCGGGAAUACUGUAGAGCUAGGGAGUGGGAGAGGUAGACGGUACUCGGUAGGAAGGGGUAAAAUCCUUUGAUCUAUUGAUGACCACCUGUGGCGAAGGCGGUCUACCAGAACACGUCCGACGGUGAGGGAUGAAAGCUGGGGGAGCAAACCGGAUUAGAUACCCGGGUAGUCCCAGCUGUAAACUAUGCAAACUCAGUGAUGCAUUGGCUUGUGGCUAAUGCAGUGCUGCAGGGAAGCCGUUAAGUUUGCCGCC